CUCCCUUCCCGAAUCUUCUUUUCCUCCUUUCUUCUUCUUUCCGUCCCGAUCCCCUCCCCCUCCUCUUCUCCUCCUCACUUGAAGCGAGGAGGCUCGUGGAGCGCUCGGGAGGAGCCGGGUCCAAGGUCGAUGGUGCCGGCGACCGGCCAACAUCGCCCGCUGCUCGGCCUGUAGCGGCCGAUCCCCCCUUCUUCAUCAUCCUUCUUCUCUUGAGAAGGGAGAAGGGCGGCUCCCCCUCACGGAAGAGGUCGACCGCGACCGACGGUGCCCGCGGCCGAACCCGUGGCCGCGCCCACGGCGGCCGGCCCCCCUCUGUUCCUUGGUGGAAAUGGGGUGUCGAGAUCACGCUCUCAAGAGGAAGGGACCUUCGGCCCGCUGCAGCUCCGACCAAGGGCCGACGGAGCUUGCAGUCGGAGCCGGCGGCUCCUCCCUCGUUCCCAUUGGGGUAGGGAAAAUAACCCACGACCAUGGCCAUGGAUGUGGCUACGGCUGCGGCCAAGCUCACCGCGACCAAAGGAGGGGAGGAAGGGCCUCCGGCCGUCGACGGCUGCAGUUGAACAUACCAGGGCUUACCUAGCGCCAACGAGGAGAUGGGGAGCUUCUUCCGGUAGCUUCCCCCGAUGGCUCGGCCUCCUACUCCGACGGUGUCGUUCCCGAUCCGAUUCCUUCGUAACGGAGAAGGGAGUGAAAGGUAGAUGAAAGAUAAGCAAUGGAGUCCCUUGGUGAGGAGAAAUCCAUGGCUUUUAUAGCCCUCUUCGGGAAGAGAGGAAAGGGAGAUCGGGAGUAUCAGGGUGGUUAUAACCGCCUGGCUUCUCCUUCUUCCCGAAGCUUCCUUAGUUUAGAUCUCCAAAUGGGCCGACCAUGUUGGGCUUGGCCCAUUAGCUCACUGUAUGUGGGCUGGUUUUCACAUUCUUCCCUCCUUAAAAUAAUUUCGUCCUCGAAAUUUACAUUCCUUAAUUCUUAAACAAAUGAAGUUACUUAGUCAUUUAUCUAACAUUCUACCACGUUUCCGCUGCGCACUCUGAUUCAAAACACUAAAAUUUUUGGAUUCACUAAUAACUUUUGAUCAAAAUACUACUUGUAUUAUGAACUAAAGAGAUCCAUAUCUUCAAUUUCCAAGUAAAGCCUAAAAGAAAGAAUAUUUGAUUCUUGAAUACAUCUAAUACAGAUUAACUCUCAAGUCAAUUGUUCCAUUCAAAAUCAUCAUAUGGGCUCGUUACUGUAAUUCCCAAAAUGUAUUGAAUCUUAAUUCUCUUAUCAAUUCAACUGGACAAUUCCAAGUCAAAUUCUUAUAACUAGAUAUUUUUUUUUUUUUAAUGCUCCACCAAAUUACAAGACUUUAAUUCAACACAAAUGAGUCAAACCUCAAAGAUCUUCCGUCAUAACCAUCUAAGUCUCUAAAAUUUAAAUUUUUCAUGCAAAUUUAGGUUUCAAGAAUAACCUCAACAAUAUUGACAAAAGAUCCUAGAUUAACUUAUAAUUCCAAACUUUGAAUUGAAAUUCCAUAUACAUCAUACAGUCCCUGAUAAACAUGAAUAAAAUCUAUUAUUUGGAUCCAAAGACGAUAAUUUAAAUUAUUAAUAAUUCCACCAAGAUGAAUACAAUAAAAUCAAUUCUUAAAUAAGAAAAUAUACCUAUUUGCAAUAACUCACAAUAUAUUUUUCUUCAACAUAAGAGUUUCAUUCAUACUCCCCAAACAUGUUCAAACCUCGAAGAGUAUUAGGUAGCAUAAAAAUCUUUUAUAGCUUAAAUCUUAAACAAUUUCUUAUAAAGAGAUCCUAACUUGCCACAAAAAUGAUUAACUUCAAGCUAGAAGUAAUAUUACAACAUACCCCCAUAUCAAAAUGAACUUCCAAAUUGACUAAUAAACAAAUAAUUACAUUGCAUGAUAAUAUUCCAUGAUCAAUUCUCUUUCACUAAAUUUUGGUCAAAAUCCAAUUAAUCAUAAUCUGAAAUAUCCACUGAGAGGACUCCCAACAUAGCUGAUCCACACUUUGGCUACGAGCCCAGUUAGCAAGCAUUUCAAUUUCAAUAAGUAUCUCCAAAAUCAAAGUCUCCACUCAAUAAUAAAGAUCCCUUGUCAAAUCAUAAACUUAAACUUGAGAUUAAACUAACACAUCCAAAAGUGUC